UACGUAGGGACCGAGCGUUGUCCGGAAUCAUUGGGCGUAAAGAGCGUGUAGGCGGCCACUUAAGUCCUGCGUGAAAUCUUGCGGCUCAACCGCAAGCGGUCGUGGGAAACUGGGUGGCUAGAGUGCGGGAGAGGAGAGUGGAAUUCCUGGUGUAGCGGUGGAAUGCGUAGAGAUCGGGAGGAACACCAGUGGCGAAGGCGACUCGCUGGACCGGUCCUGACGCUCAGGCGCGAAAGCGUGGGGAGCGAUCCGG
rnacentral:rRNA from 1 species